rnacentral:rRNA from 1 species
UACGUAGGUGGCAAGCGUUGUCCGGAAUUAUUGGGCGUAAAGCGCGCGCAGGCGGUCCUUUAAGUCUGAUGUGAAAGCCCACGGCUCAACCGUGGAGGGUCAUUGGAAACUGGGGGACUUGAGUACAGAAGAGGAAAGUGGAAUUCCACGUGUAGCGGUGAAAUGCGUAGAGAUGUGGAGGAACACCAGUGGCGAAGGCGACUUUCUGGUCUGUAACUGACGCUGAGGCGCGAAAGCCAGGGGAGCAAACAGG